rnacentral:rRNA from 1 species
AUUGAACGCUGGCGGCAUGCUUUACACAUGCAAGUCGAACGGUAACAGCACUUCGGUGGCUGACGAGUGGCGAACGGGUGAGUAAUACAUCGGAACGUGCCUAGUAGUGGGGGAUAACUACUCGAAAGAGUAGCUAAUACCGCAUGAGAUCUAAGGAUGAAAGCAGGGGACCUUCGGGCCUUGCGCUACUAGAGCGGCUGAUGGCAGAUUAGGUAGUUGGUGGGAUAAAAGCUUACCAAGCCGACGAUCUGUAGCUGGUCUGAGAGGACGACCAGCCACACUGGGACUGAGACUCGGCCCAGACUCCUACGGGAGGCAGCAGUGGGGAAUUUUGGACAAUGGGCGCAAGCCUGAUCCAGCAAUGCCGCGUGCAGGAUGAAGGCCUUCGGGUUGUAAACUGCUUUUGUACGGAACGAAAAGCCCUCUUCUAAUACAGGAGGGUCAUGACGGUACCGUAAGAAUAAGCACCGGCUAACUACGUG